UUGGUGUAUGAAAAAUUUCAGAAUUUUUCAUAAUUCGGAUAUUGAGAUAAAAAUUAAAUAGCACCUAGUGCUCUGUUUGUAAAUUGUGUAAGGCUGCUGCUGUAAGUUAAUUAUUUGAGGACCUUAAACACAUUAGUUUGGCCUAAAUUUUGGUAUGCACUUAGAAAUAUAUGUUAUAUAAGUGCCAUAAAAUUUUCAGAGAAAAAUGUGGCCAUUUGAUAGGUUAAUUGAAUAAAUCUUUGGCUGUAGUCGGUGUAGGCAGCCGUGCUAUGCACAACGAUGGUUAUGCCGAUACGUAUAUUUGCAUAGACAAGUAGAAAAAUGGUUUGAAAUGAAUUGAAUAAUUUGUUAAGAGAUGGCUUGAUCGAGGUGUCUGAAUUAUGUUGAGGUUAUAAUUCGGUAUCAAUAGGUUAGUCUUGUUGUGUAUUAAGUUCCGAAUUGAAUUGACGUUUUGCAUAAAACGUCUUGCAAACAGCGAUAUUGCAAAGGCAAUAUCUCGGGCUGUAUGAUUCCAAACUAAGUUCCGUUUGCUGGUACGGAAACUUUGGGAUGUUAACUACAAUUGUCUAGUUUUAAUAUUUCUCUAAUUCUGCCUCUAAGAUGGUCAUCUGAGGCAAAACAUUUUUGUGUGCAGUCUGAACUGUUAUUCUGGACAGCUUGAGGUUUUAACUUCGAAGCUUGUUUUCGACACCUUCGGGUGCAUUUCAUGGUCCGAGACCUAAACAAAAGUUGUAGGCGACGUUCUAAACUAUAAGAAUGUCACUUUUGUUUAGAGGUCGGAUUAUUUUAGAUAAGCGUUUUUGAUAGCCAAAGUGAGCUACAAAACAGCCUUUAAAUAGAAAAUUGGAGAUGAGAAUUGUUAUUUAUUGCGCUAUUAUCGUAAUUGCGUAGAUUCGACGAGGCGACUAUCGACGGAGUUCAAAGUUCUUGAAUCGAGAUUAACGCUUUGCUUGAUUAGAGUAAAUGGAUAGCAAGUGGAAUAGUAUGAUAUGAUUUGGAGAGUCAAGCUUCCGAAGUUUUAAAUUCUCGGAAGUCAUUUGCACAAGAAGUUAAAGAAGGUUUUCAUUCUAGCGGUCCGCAGUAGUCUAGAUGUCUUUGUCUAUGUAUUUAUAUAGCGCAUUUUAACUCUGAUAUUUUUGUAAAAUGGGGUCACAUGUAUUUUGAUAUAUGAAAAAUGAUUCGAUUUGCGAAAAAUUUACACAGGAUUUUAGGCUUGCUACGGGUUUCGGAGCUACCACUCCCAUUCCCUAGCGCCGGUCGCGACUCAUAAAUUUGGGUCGUGACAAAGGUGGUAUCAGAGCAAAGGAUGGGAGGUUCGGCUGGUGAGCGGGGCUCCCGGGACCGUUCCGAUUCUAGGGAACUCUCACUCAUGAUCUGUGACGAAGUGAGGCUCUCCGCCCUAGAGCGUAUGGUAAUGCGUGCUCUGAUAGGUACAUAUGGAUGUCACCCUAUGGGAUAGGACGGAGUCCAUAUCGGUUACGACCGCACCUGAAAAAAAGGUGGUAUCAGAGCAAUGGUUUAGAUUCAUAGGC